AUGUAAGUUAGACAUUAAGGUAAUUAUGGUUAUCAUGUUGCUGAUUUUCAUCAAAUGAAUGACAUUGUUUAUUUAUAUUUAAUAAAAAACAAAACAAAAGACAAUAAAAUAAAAAUAAAUUAAUUUAAAAAAAUUGGAUGAAAAUUGAAACAAAUAAAGCCCAUUUUUAAUGAUGGUAAAAGUAUGAUAAGAAUUUAAAAGGAGAAAAAUAUUUCAACUAAAUAAAUUUAAA